GGUAGGCAUUGAGGCAGCCAGCGCAGGGGUUGCUGCUGAGAGGGCGGGCGCAGCUUGAGGAAACCGCAGAUAAGUUUUUUUCUCUUUGAAAGAGAGAGUAAUACAACUGCUUAAGAAAUAUAGUCAAUAGGUUACUAAGAUAUUGCUUAGCGUUAAGUUCUUAACGUAAUUUUAAUAACUUAAGAUUUUAAGAGAAAAUAUGAAGACUUAAAGAGUAGCAUGAGGAAGGAAAAGAUAAAAAGGUUUCUAAAACAUGACGGAGGUUGAGAUGAAGCUUCUUCAUGGAGUAAAAAAAUGCGAAGAAAAGAAUAGAGAAGAUAGGGAAAUUAGAAGAUAAAAACAUACUUUUAGAAGAAAAAUAAGUUUAAACCUGAAAGGAAGCAGAA
rnacentral:lncRNA from 1 species